ACCUGGGUGGCUCAGUUGGUUAAGCGUCUGACUUCGGCUCAGGUCAUGAUCUCGUGGUUCGUGGGUUCGAGCCCCACAUCGGGCU
rnacentral:tRNA from 1 species